AAGAAGGGAUAUGAGUUGGCCUGAUGCCAGGUAAGCAUGUGUGGUGCAAUUUAGGGUUAUAAAAAUGGGGUGCAUUUUCAAGCAACCUUGAGCUUGUGUGAAGGGUUCAAGUGAAAGCACACCUAUUGGGACCUGAAAGAUGGUGAACUAUGCCUGAGUAGCGCGAAGUGAGAGGAAACUUUGGUGGAGGCUCGCAGCGAUACUGACAUUCAAAUCAUUCAUCUGACUUGGGUAUAGGGGCGAAAGACUAAUUGAACCAUCUAGUAGCUGGUUUCCUUUGAAGUUUCCCUCAGGAUAGUUGGAGAUCACGUGCGAGUUUUAUCGGGUAAAGAAAAUGAUUAGAGUCAUCGGGGGUGUAACGCCCUUGAUCUAUUCUCAAACUUUAAAUAGUUAAGAUGGCGCGACUACUCCACUAAGCUGUGCCAUGGAAUAGAUAUCUCCAAGUGGUCCAUUUUUGGUAAACAGAACUGGCGAUGUGGGAUGAACCGAAAGUCGAGUUACGGUGCCAAACAACACACUAACCCAGAUCCCACCAAGGGUGUUGGUUGAUUAAGACAAUAGGACGGUGGUCAUGGAAGUCGAAAUCUACUAAGGAGUGUGUAACAACUCACCUACCAAAUCAACUAGCCCCGAAAAUGGAUGGCGCUGAAGCGCGCGACCUAUACUUGACCAUCGGAGCAAUUUCCAGGCUUCGAUGAGUAGGAGGAUGCAUGGGUCAUUGAGAAACCUUGGGCAUGAGCCUGGGUGGACCAGUCCCUAGUGCAUAUCUUAGUGGUAGUAGAAAAUAUUCAAAUGAGAACUUUGAAGACUGAAGUGGGGAAAAGUUCCAUGUGAACAACACUUGGACAUGGGUUAGUCAAUCCUAAUAGAUGGGGAAGCCCUAUAUCAAGGGUGCACUCUUCACGAACAUAAAAAAGGAAUCGGGUUAAUAUUCUUGAAUCGAGACAUGGUGACAGAUGACAACGUUAGGUAAUCCGGAGACGUCGUCGGGGGCCCUAGGAAGAGUUGUAUUUUAUUUUUAACAGCUUGCCCACCCUGAAAUCGUCUCAACCAGAGAUAGGGUCCAACAGCUGGAAGAGCAUCACACGUCUUUUAGUGUUCAGUGUGCCCUCAAUGACCAUUGAAAAUCUGGAGGACCGAGUACUGUCCAUGCCCGGUUGUACUCAUAACCUCAUUAGGUCUCCAAGGUGAACAACCUCUGGUC
rnacentral:ncRNA from 1 species